UUGCCAGACUCCUACGGGAGGCAGCAGUAGGGAAUUUUGCGCAAUGGGUGAAAGCCUGACGCAGCAACGCCGCGUGAUCGAGACGCCCUUCGGGGUGUAAAGAUCUGUCAGUGGGGACGAGACUUGACGGUACCCACAGAGGAAGCACCGGCUAACUCCGUGCCAGCAGCCGCGGUAAUACGGGGGGUGCAAGCGUUGUCCGGAUUUACUGGGUGUAAAGGGAGCGUAGACGGCAGCACAAGUCUGGAGUGAAAUGCCGGGGCUUAACCCCGGAACUGCUUUGGAAACUGUGCAGCUAGAGUGCAGGAGAGGUAAGUGGAAUUCCUAGUGUAGCGGUGAAAUGCGUAGAUAUUAGGAGGAACACCAGUGGCGAAGGCGGCUUACUGGACUGUAACUGACGUUGAGGCUCGAAAGCGUGGGGAGCAAACAGGAUUAGAUACCCGCGUAA
rnacentral:rRNA from 1 species